rnacentral:lncRNA from 1 species
CAUAGAUCCAAAAUCCUUUUCUUUAAUUUAAAUAUGAGAUUUUCCUUCAUUUUGAAGUUAAAUAUGUUCAAGAUGUUUGAUUCAUUUUUUUUCCUAAUUGUUUGCCUCAAUUCAUGUGCUAGUACGAUUCCAUGGAAAGUUAGGUUAACCUAUGUUUCAGGUUUUGAAUUCCCUUGUUGUAUUCAAUUGAAUUUCAUGUGAUAAUAUUGAAUUGUGAAUUUAGAAAU